GACGAACGCUGGCGGCGUGCUUAACACAUGCAAGUCGAACGAAAAUACCAAGCUUGCUUGGUUGAUUAGUGGCGAACGGGUGAGUAACACGUGAGUAACCUGCCCCUUACUUUCCUGGAUAACUGCUCGAAAGGGUAGCUAAUACGGGAUAUUGUGACCAGCCUGCAUGGGUUGGUUUGGAAAGGUUGUUUUUCUGGUAAGGGAUGGGCUCGCGGCCUAUCAGCUUGUUGGUGGGGUGAUGGCCUACCAAGGCUUUGACGGGUAGCCGGCCUGCGAGGGUGGACGGUCACACUGGGACUGAGAUACGGCCCAGACUCCUACGGGAGGCAGCAGUGGGGAAUAUAGCACAAUGGGCGCAAGCCUGAUGCAGCGACGCCGCGUGAGGGAUGAAGGCCUUCGGGUUGUAAACCUCUUGCGUCAGGGAACAAGGCACUGCUUUUGUGGUGGUGUUGAGGGUACCUGGAUAAGAAGCGCCGGCUAACUACGUG
rnacentral:rRNA from 1 species